AGACACGGACCAGAUUCCUACGGGAGGCAGCAGUGAGGAAUAUUGGUCAAUGGGCGCAAGCCUGAACCAAGCCAUGCCGCGUGCAGGAUGACGGUCCUAUGGAUUGUAAACUGCUUUUGCACAGGAAGAAACACUCGGUCGUGACCGAGCUUGACGGUACUGUGAGAAUAAGGAUCGGCUAACUCCGUGCCAGCAGCCGCGGUAAUACGGAGGAUCCAAGCGUUAUCCGGAAUCAUUGGGUUUAAAGGGUCCGUAGGCGGCCAGAUAAGUCAGUGGUGAAAGCCCAUCGCUCAACGAUGGAACGGCCAUUGAUACUGUUUGGCUUGAAUUAUUUGGAAGUAACUAGAAUAUGUAGUGUAGCGGUGAAAUGCUUAGAGAUUACAUGGAAUACCAAUUGCGAAGGCAGGUUACUACAAAUUGAUUGACGCUGAUGGACGAAAGCGUGGGUAGCGAACAGGAUUAGAUACCCUGGUAGUCCACGCCGUAAACGAUGGAUACUAGCUGUUGGGAGCAAUCUCAGUGGCUAAGCGAAAGUGAUAAGUAUCCCACCUGGGGAGUACGUUCGCAAGAAUGAAACUCAAAGGAAUUGACGGGGGCCCGCACAAGCGGUGGAGCAUGUGGUUUAAUUCGAUGAUACGCGAGGAACCUUACCAAGGCUUAAAUGUAGAUUGACCGGUUUGGAAACAGACUUUUCGCAAGACAAUUUACAAGGUGCUGCAUGGUUGUCGUCAGCUCGUGCCGUGAGGUGUCAGGUUAAGUCCUAUAACGAGCGCAACCCCUGUUGUUAGUUGCCAGCGAGUCAUGUCGGGAACUCUAGCAAGACUGCCAGUGUAAACUGUGAGGAAGGUGGGGAUGACGUCAAAUCAUCACGGCCCUUACGCCUUGGGCUACACACGUGCUACAAUGGCCGGUACAGAGAGCAGCCACUACGCAAGUAGGAGCGAAU
rnacentral:rRNA from 1 species